GUAUCUGCCGUAUCAACUUUCGAUGGUAGUGUAUCUGACUACCAUGGUGAUCACGCGUAACGGAGAAUAAGGGUUCGGCUCCGGAGAGUUCGCCUGAGAAAUCGCGAACACAUCUAAGGAAGGCAGCAGGCGCGAAAAUUACCCACUCUCAGCACGAGGAGGUAGUGACGAAAAAUAACGAGACCGUUCUCUUUCGAGGCCGGUCAUCGGAAUGGGUACAAUUUAAACCCUUUAACGAGUAUCUAUGAGAGGGCAAGUCUGGUGCCAGCAGCCGCGGUAAUUCCAGCUCUCAAAGUGCAUAGAAUUAUUGCUGCGGUUAAAAAGCUCGUAGUUGGAUCUGUGCCAUAGGACGGGGUCCACCUUCGGGUGCGUACUCCGCUCCUAGGCUUUUUGCUGGUUUUCCCGUCGUAGCCUUCACUGGUUGCGGCGGGUGGCUGGCGAGUUUACUUUGAGAAAAUCAGAGUGCUCAAUACAGGCGUCUAGCUUGAAUGAUUGUGCAUGGAAUAAUAGAAAAGGAUUUCGGUCCUCUUUUAUUGGUUUUGUGGACUGAGAUAAUGGUUAACAGGGACAAACGGGGGCAUUCGUAUCGCUGCGUGAGAGGUGAAAUUCUUGGACCGUAGCGAGACGCCCUACUGCGAAAGCAUUUGCCAAGAAUGUCUUCAUUAAUCAAGAACGAAAGUCAGAGGUUCGAAGGCGAUCAGAUACCGCCCUAGUUCUGACCGUAAACGAUGCCAACUAGCGAUCCGCCGGUGGAUUUUUAGCCCUGGUGGGUAGCUUCCCGGAAACGAAAGUCUUCCGGUUCCGGGGGAAGUAUGGUUGCAAAGCUGAAACUUAAAGGAAUUGACGGAAGGGCACCACCAGGAGUGGAGCCUGCGGCUUAAUUUGACCCAACACGGGGAAACUCACCCGGCCCGGACACCGUAAGGAUUGACAGAUUGAUAGCUCUUUCAUGAUUCGGUGGUUGGUGGUGCAUGGCCGUUCUUAGUUCGUGGAUCGAUUUGUCUGGUUUAUUCCGAUAACGAGCGAAACUCUAGCCUACUAAAUAGUAACGAGAUUGCCAUUGUCUUAGUUGCUUCUUAGAGGGAUUUUCGGUGUUUAGCCGCACGAGAUUGAGCAAUAACAGGUCUGUGAUGCCCUUAGAUGUCCGGGGCUGCACGCGCGCUACACUGGCGA
rnacentral:rRNA from 1 species